UACGUAGGGGGCUAGCGUUGUCCGGAAUCAUUGGGCGUAAAGCGCGCGUAGGCGGCCAGAUAAGUCCGGUGUGAAAGUCACAGGCUCAACCUGUGAAUGCCGCUGGAAACUGUCUGGCUAGAGUCCGGAAGGGGCGAGUGGAACUGCGAGUGUAGAGGUGAAAUUCGUAGAUAUUCGCAAGAACACCAGUGGCGAAGGCGGCUCACUGGCCCGGUACUGACGCUGAGGUGCGAAAGCGUGGGGAGCAAACAGG
rnacentral:rRNA from 1 species